rnacentral:rRNA from 1 species
GAUGAACGCUAGCUACAGGCUUAACACAUGCAAGUCGAGGGACCGGCGCACGGGUGAGUAACACGUAUCCAACCUGCCCUUUACUCGGGGAUAGCCUUUCGACAGAAAGAUUAAUACCCGAUAUAAAGGAUGGGGAUGCGUUCAAUUAGGUUGUUGGUGAGGUAACGGCUCACCAAGCCUUCGAUGGAUAGGGGUUCUGAGAGGAAGGUCCCCCACAUUGGAACUGGGAUACGGUCCAAACUCCUACGUGAGGCAGCAGUGAGGAAUAUUGGUCAAUGGGCGCUAGCCGUAACCAGCCGAGUAGCGUGAUGGAUAAAGGUCUAUGGGUCGUACACGUCUUUUAUAUAAGAAUAUGUAUUAUAUGAAUGAGGAGCGGCUAACUCCGUGCCAGCAGCCGCGGUAAUAC